CGUUACCACCCGUGCUCGAAACCGUGUGAUUAGGGCUCACCACCACUGUUCUUCAGUUCACUGGUGUGGUAAGGUCUUUCAUUUUUUUCUAUCUCUAGCACCUUCCUCGAACAAUCCCCUCGAACAAUCGUCUUCCGGUGUUGUUGUUCCAAUGGCUGAAUCUUCCAACCCAAAACGCAAAAGAACUGCUCUUCAUGGAAGAUAUUUUUACAACUGCAAAACAAUACUCCACUUUCAAGAAGAAGUAUGCAACAGAAAAGAUCAUCGAGCCAAAGUAUCUAGAUAUCAAGUUUUGGGACGCUGAAGGUUUUGAAAUCUGUGAUCUAUUGAGCAGUAACCAUCUGCUCCAAAUGUCCAUUUUAAAAGAGAAGUAUGUGGAGAAUCUGAUUAGAGCAUUCUAUUGUACUAUGUCCUUUGAGAACAACACUCCAAAAGAUGAGAUUAAAGGGAAAUCCAUCAUUGUCCUGCCCACUGAGUGGCCUAAUCUGAUUGGUUGUCCCUAUGUCGGCCGUACAGACCCUGACGUGUACCCUGAGUUUGAUAGAUCUGCCUUUAUUUAACCAAUUGUGGAACCUGGUGUCCAUAUCACGAAAUUCAAAUUCAGUGUUAAUAUCACUAUGGACAGCCGGAUUCUUCACUAUGUUGUCACUCACAUUCUGUAUCCAAGGGUCAUUCGAUCUGGCAUAGACUUCAACUGGCCACUUUACUUCUGCUCCAUGAUGAUGAAAGCCCAAUCUUCCGGUCCUCUUCCGUAUGCCACUCUUAUUUAUCGCAUUUUGUGAUUUCAGCAGAUUCACGACGAGGGUGAGAUCAUGAAAGAAAACUUGCACUCCUUUGGAGAACACCAGCUUGCUCAAAUGCAGAUAAAGAAAGUUGGUGGUGUCUGGGGUCGUCAAACAGAUCCUCCUACAGCAGCUGCACCUCAUCAGGACACUCCUGCAGACGAUCCUUCACAGGAUACUGCCCCAGCUGAUGCUUCUUCUUCUGCGGACCAUUCCAUGGCUUCUCUCUUGACUUACCUUACAUCAUUGAAGACCACCAUACAGUCUGGCUUUGAUUCUUUAGGGGCUGGCAUCUCCACUCUUCAGGCUCGUCAGACUAACAUGGAGUACCGCCUCAAGCGCAUUAAGGACCACCUUGACAUUCCUCCUCUUUCGUCUCUACCUCCACCUGGCUCUGAUGACUAGUCCCUAAUUUUAUUUGUUAUGCUUUUGGACUUACAUUAUGCUUAUAUUUUGCUAUGCUACUUUGGAUAUUUUGCAUCUC